rnacentral:rRNA from 1 species
GACGAACGCUGGCGGCGUGCUUAGCACAUGCAAGUCGAACGGGAAGGCCCUGCUUGCAGGGUACUCGAGUGGCGAACGGGUGAGUAACACGUGGGUGAUCUGCCCUGCACUUCGGGAUAAGCCUGGGAAACUGGUUCUAAUACCGGAUAGGAGCCAUUUUUAGUGUGAUGGUUGGAAAGUUGUUUCGGUGUAGGAUGAGCGUGCGGCCUAUCAGCUUGUUGGUGGGGUAAUGGCCUACCAAGGCGGCGACGGGUAGCCGGCCUGGGAGGGUGGACGUCCACAGUCGGACUGAGACAGGGACCAGACUCCGACGGGAGGGAGCAGUGGCGAAUAUUGCACAAUGGGCGCAAGCCUGAUGCAGAGACGCCGAGUGGGGGAUGACGGCCUUCGGGUUGUAAUUUCAUUUCGCUAGGGCCGAAGCUUUUUGUGACGGUACCUAGAGAAGAAGCACCGGCUAACUACGUG